rnacentral:lncRNA from 1 species
UGCGUCGCUCGCGUGUGCAGCAUUUUAUUGACUUGGUGUGCAGAAACUGAAACUCGGAUUCCGAGGCCAAUAGUAAGUAUGUUCAUAUACUUACCUUAUUAAUAUUUAUUAUUGAUCAAUGACCACAAGCGCAAUUGUGUGUCGCGAGGAAAUAGGCAUAUAAGUUUCUUUUGGAUAUACCAUCGCACUGCCGGGGCUGGUGCCGGUGCAGACGCUCGCCCCGAUCGACGCCGGAUGCUCGCCGCCGGGUGGCUUCAGAAUGUGAAGUCUGCCUGCUCCUGUUCGAUAGGUAAAGUUUCGGAGACACUGGUGCGUUUUCUGGAAACUGCAGUCUCAAGGAUGGCGACGGAGAAAGUGCGCCCAUGGUCUUCCAUGCCCUCGCGCUACUGAGCCAGAAUACCAGCAGCCAGCACCCUUCGAGCUA